UACGUAGGGAGCGAGCGUUGUCCGGAUUUACUGGGUGUAAAGGGUGCGUAGGCGGCUGUGCAAGUCAGAAGUGAAAUCCAUGGGCUUAACCCGUGAACUGCUUUUGAAACUGCACGGCUUGAGUGAAGUAGAGGUAGGCGGAAUUCCCGGUGUAGCGGUGAAAUGCGUAGAGAUCGGGAGGAACACCAGUGGCGAAGGCGGCCUACUGGGCUUUAACUGACGCUGAAGCACGAAAGCGUGGGUAGCAAACAGG
rnacentral:rRNA from 1 species